rnacentral:rRNA from 1 species
GGGUUGUGAGGUUAAGCGACUAAGCGUACACGGUGGAUGCCCUGGCAGUCAGAGGCGAUGAAGGACGUGCUAAUCUGCGAAAAGCGUCGGUAAGGUGAUAUGAACCGUUAUAGCCGGCGAUGUCCGAAUGGGGAAACCCAGUGUGAUUCGUCACACUAUCGUUAACUGAAUACAUAGGUUAACGAGGCGAACCGGGGGAACUGAAACAUCUAAGUACCCCGAGGAAAAGAAAUCAACCGAGAUUCCCCCAGUAGCGGCGAGCGAACGGGGAGCAGCC